rnacentral:rRNA from 1 species
CCUACGGGCGGCAGCAGUGAGGAAUAUUGGUCAAUGGACGAGAGUCUGAACCAGCCAAGUAGCGUGAAGGAUGACUGCCCUAUGGGUUGUAAACUUCUUUUAUAUGGGAAUAAAAUGUUCCACGUGUGGGAUUUUGUAUGUACCAUAUGAAUAAGGAUCGGCUAACUCCGUGCCAGCAGCCGCGGUAAUACGGAGGAUCCGAGCGUUAUCCGGAUUUAUUGGGUUUAAAGGGAGCGUAGGUGGAUUGUUAAGUCAGUUGUGAAAGUUUGCGGCUCAACCGUAAAAUUGCAGUUGAAACUGGCAGUCGUGAGUACAGUAGAGGUGAGCGGAAUUCGUGGUGUAGCGGUGAAAUGCUUAGAUAUCACGAAGAACUCCGAUUGCGAAGGCAGCUCACUGGACUGCAACUGACACUGAGGCUCGAAAGUGUGGGUAUCAAACAGGAUUAGAUACCCCUGUAGUC